GCUCCCCACAGACGGCGCCA
rnacentral:siRNA from 1 species